GAUGAACGCUGGCGGCGUGCUUAACACAUGCAAGUCGAACGGUGAAGCUCCAGCUUGCUGGAGUGGAUCAGUGGCGAACGGGUGAGUAACACGUGAGCAACCUGCCCCUGACUCUGGGAUAACAGCCGGAAACGGCUGCUAAUACCGGAUAUGCACCAUGAACGCAUGUUCUGUGGUGGGAAAGAUUUUUCGGUUGGGGAUGGGCUCGCGGCCGAUCAGCUUGUUGGUGAGGUAAUGGCUCACCAAGGCGUCGACGGGUAGCCGGCCUGGGAGGGUGACCGGCCACACUGGGACUGAGACACGGCCCAGACUCCUACGGGAGGCAGCAGUGGGGAAUAUUGCACAAUGGGCGAAAGCCUGAUGCAGCAACGCCGCGUGAGGGAUGACGGCCUUCGGGUUGUAAACCUCUUUUAGCAGGGAAGAAGCGAGAGUGACGGUACCUGCAGAAAAAGCGCCGGCUAACUACGUG
rnacentral:rRNA from 1 species